rnacentral:ncRNA from 1 species
UUGACGGAGUGCGGGGAAACUAGCACGCUCCGUUCUUACAAGGGAGCGGCGACGCAGCGAUGCGUUGCUGCUACUCGAC